CCCUUAGAUGUUCUGGGCCGCACGCGCGCUACACUGAUGCAUUCAACGAGCCUAUCCUUGACCGACAGGUCCGGGUAAUCUUUGAAUCUGCAUCGUGACGGGGAUAGAUUAUUGCAAUUAUUAAUCUUCAACGAGGAAUGCCUAGUAGGCGCAAGUCAUCAGCUUGCGUCGAUUACGUCCCUGCCCUUUGUACACACCGCCCGUCGCUCCUACCGUUUGGGUGUGCUGGUGAAAUGUUCGGAUCGGCCGUUUGUCGCGGUUUCCGCGUCAUGUGGCUGAGAAGUUCAUUAAACCCUCCCACCUAGAGGAAGGAGAAGUCGUAACA
rnacentral:rRNA from 1 species